rnacentral:rRNA from 1 species
GAUGAACGCUGGCGGCGUGCCUAAUACAUGCAAGUCGAGAGAACGGACGAGAAGCUUGCUUUUCUGAUGUUAGCGGCGGACGGGUGAGUAACACGUGGAUAACCUACCUAUAAGACUGGGAUAACUUCGGGAAACCGGAGCUAAUACCGGAUAAUAUUUUGAACCGCAUGGUUCAAAAGUGAAAGACGGUCUUGCUGUCACUUAUAGAUGGAUCCGCGCUGCAUUAGCUAGUUGGUAAGGUAACGGCUUACCAAGGCAACGAUGCAUAGCCGACCUGAGAGGGUGAUCGGCCACACUGGAACUGAGACACGGUCCAGACUCCUACGGGAGGCAGCAGUAGGGAAUCUUCCGCAAAGGGCGAAAGCCUGACGGAGCAACGCCGCGUGAGUGAUGAAGGUCUUCGGAUCGUAAAACUCUGUUAUUAGGGAAGAACAUAUGUGUAAGUAACUGUGCACAUCUUGACGGUACCUAAUCAGAAAGCCACGGCUAACUACGUG